rnacentral:rRNA from 1 species
UACGAAGGGGGCUAGCGUUGCUCGGAAUCACUGGGCGUAAAGGGUGCGUAGGCGGGUCUUUAAGUCAGGGGUGAAAUCCUGGAGCUCAACUCCAGAACUGCCUUUGAUACUGAAGAUCUUGAGUUCGGGAGAGGUGAGUGGAACUGUGAGUGUAGAGGUGAAAUUCGUAGAUAUUCGCAAGAACACCAGUGGCGAAGGCGGCUCACUGGCCCGAUACUGACGCUGAGGCACGAAAGCGUGGGGAGCAAACAGGG